GACGGAGGGGUGCUAGCGUUGUUCGGAUUUACUGGGCGUAAAGCGCACGUAGGCGGAUCGAUCAGUCAGGGGUGAAAUCCCAGAGCUCAACUCUGGAACUGCCUUUGAUACUGUCGAUCUGGAGUAUGGAAGAGGUGAGUGGAAUUCCGAGUGUAGAGGUGAAAUUCGUAGAUAUUCGGAGGAACACCAGUGGCGAAGGCGGCUCACUGGUCCAUUACUGACGCUGAGGUGCGAAAGCAUGGGGAGCGAACAGG
rnacentral:rRNA from 1 species